GAUGAACGCUGGCGGCGUGCUUAACACAUGCAAGUCGAACGGGCUCAUAUUGAAACCUAGUGAUGUAUGAGUUAGUGGCGGACGGGUGAGUAACGCGUGGAGAACCUGCCGUAUACUGGGGGAUAACACUUAGAAAUAGGUGCUAAUACCGCAUAAGCGCACAGCUUCGCAUGAAGCAGUGUGAAAAACUCCGGUGGUAUACGAUGGUUCCGCGUCUGAUUAGCUAGUUGGUGAGGUAAAAGCCCACCAAGGCGACGAUCAGUAGCCGGCCUGAGAGGGUGAACGGCCACAUUGGGACUGAGACACGGCCCAG
rnacentral:rRNA from 1 species